rnacentral:rRNA from 1 species
ACCACCUAUAAUCGUUUUAAUCGAUGGGGGGACGCAGUAGGAUAGGCGAAGCGUGCGAUUGGAUUGCACGUCUAAGCAGUAAGGCUGAGUAUUAGGCAAAUCCGGUACUCGUUAAGGCUGAGCUGUGAUGGGGAGAAGACAUUGUGUCUUCGAGUCGUUGAUUUCACACUGCCGAGAAAAGCCUCUAGAUAGAAAAUAGGUGCCCGUACCGCAAACCGACACAGGUAGUCAAGAUGAGAAUUCUAAGGUGAGCGAGCGAACUCUCGUUAAGGAACUCGGCAAAAUGACC